GCGGUGGAGCAUGUGGUUUAAUUCGAAGCAACGCGAAGAACCUUACCAGGUCUUGACAUCCCCUGACAACCCGAGAGAUCGGGCGUUCCCCCUUCGGGGGACAGGGUGACAGGUGGUGCAUGGUUGUCGUCAGCUCGUGUCGUGAGAUGUUGGGUUAAGUCCCCGCAACGAGCGCAACCCUCGACCUUAGUUGCCAGCAUUCAGUUGGGCACUCUAAGGUGACUGCCGGCUAAAAGUCGGAGGAAGGUGGGGAUGACGUCAAAUCAUCAUGCCCCUUAUGACCUGGGCUACACACGUGCUACAAUGGGCGGUACAAAGGGUCGCGAACCCGCGAGGGGGAGCCAAUCCCAAAAAGCCGCUCUCAGUUCGGAUUGCAGGCUGCAACUCGCCUGCAUGAAGCCGGAAUCGCUAGUAAUCGCGGAUCAGCAUGCCGCGGUGAAUACGUUCCCGGGCCUU
rnacentral:rRNA from 1 species